AUACGGAAGGGGCAAGCGUUGUUCGGAAUCAUUGGGCGUAAAGGGCGCGUAGGCGGUCUCGUAUGUCUGCUGUGAAAGCGCACGGCUUAACCGUGCAGGGUCGGUGGAAACUGCGAGACUUGAGGCUGGGAGGGGCUGGUGGAAUUCCCUGUGUAGCGGUGAAAUGCGUAGAUAUGGGGGAGAACACUCGUGGCGAAGGCGGCCAGCUGGACCAGUCCUGACGCUGAGGCGCGAUAGCGUGGGGAGCAAACAGGAUUAGAAACCCCGGUAGUCC
rnacentral:rRNA from 1 species